AACGUAGGAGGCAAGCGUUAUCCGGAUUUACUGGGCGUAAAGCGCGUGCAGGCGGUCGGGUAAGUCGGACGUGAAAGCUCCUGGCUCAACUGGGAGAGGCCGUUCGAUACUACCGGACUAGAGGGCAGGAGAGGGAGGUGGAAUUCCGGGUGUAGCGGUGAAAUGCGUAGAUAUCCGGAGGAACACCAGUGGCGAAGGCGGCCUCCUGGUCUGCCCCUGACGCUCAGACGCGAAAGCUAGGGGAG
rnacentral:rRNA from 1 species